rnacentral:hammerhead_ribozyme from 1 species
AUCCAGCUGACGAGUCCCAAAUAAGAUGAAAUGUGCAUCAAACUAGAU